AAGGGUAUAGCUCAGUGGUAGAGUGCGUGCUUAGCAUGCAUGAGGUCCUGGGUUCAAUCCCUAGUACCUCCA
rnacentral:tRNA from 1 species